rnacentral:rRNA from 1 species
GGAAUCUUGCGCAAUGGGCGAAAGCCUGACGCAGCAACGCCGCGUGCGGGAAGAAGGCCUUCGGGUUGUAAACCGCUUUCAGCAGGAAAGAAAAUGACGGUACCUGCAGAAGAAGGUGCGGCCAACUACGCGCCAGCAGCCGCGGUGACACGUAGGCACCAAGCGUUGUCCGGAUUUAUUGGGCGUAAAGAGCUCGUAGGCGGUUCAGUAAGUCGGGUGUGAAAACUUUGGGCCUAACCCAAAGCCUGCACUCGAAACUGCUGUGACUAGAGUUCGGUAGGGGAGCGGGGAAUUCCUGGUGUAGCGGUGAAAUGCGCAGAUAUCAGGAGGAACACCGGUGGCGAAGGCGCCGCUCUGGGCCGACACUGACGCUGAGGAGCGAAAGCGUGGGUAGCAAACAGGAUUGGAUACCCUGGUAGUCCACGCCGUAAACGUUGGGCACUAGGUGUGGGUCUCUGCUAACGAGAUCCGCGCCGUCGCUAACGCAUUAAGUGCCCCGCCUGGGGAGUACGGUCGCAAGACUAAAACUCAAAUGAAUUGACGG